rnacentral:rRNA from 1 species
GACGAACGCUGGCGGCGUGCUUAACACAUGCAAGUCGAACGGUAAGGCCCUUCGGGGUACACGAGUGGCGAACGGGUGAGUAACACGUGGGUGAUCUGCCCUGCACUUCGGGAUAAGCCUGGGAAACUGGGUCUAAUACCGGAUAGGACCACUGCCUGCAUGGGUGGGGGUGGAAAGCUUUUGCGGUGUGGGAUGGGCCCGCGGCCUAUCAGCUUGUUGGUGGGGUGAUGGCCUACCAAGGCGACGACGGGUAGCCGGCCUGAGAGGGUGACCGGCCACACUGGGUCUGAGAUACGGCCCAGACUCCUACGGGAGGCAGCAGUGGGGAAUAUUGCACAAUGGGCGCAAGCCUGAUGCAGCGACGCCGCGUGAGGGAUGACGGCCUUCGGGUUGUAAACCUCUUUCAGCACCGACGAAGCGCAAGUGACGGUAGGUGCAGAAGAAGGACCGGCCAACUACGUGCCAGCCGCCGCGGUAA